ACGCGUCACACGAGCACAUACAAGCAAACAUGGGCAAAAGUAAGAAAACAGUACACCAAGCAUAGUUAAACAGAGAAAAUAAGCUUGAAAAGAUGAUAUACGCUUUAAAACGAACACGUGGAUAUAAAGAACGCGAAAAACGGAGUUAAGAUGCAAAAGAUAUGAUUAAAACAAGAUCCAGGGACUUUUCUGUGAGAAAAACAAAACUUUCAGGGCCUAUCCGCGAAAACCGAGGGCUUAUACGUAAUUAUGCGUAUAAACCGAGGGUCUGACGCGUAAAAACAACAAACCCGGAUGGCGGGUUGAUUUCUGGAAAGCUC
rnacentral:lncRNA from 1 species